rnacentral:rRNA from 1 species
UAAUACGGAGGGUGCGAGCGUUGUUCGGAAUUACUGGGCGUAAAGGGCGUGUAGGCGGUUUCCUAAGUUCGGUGUGAAAGCCCGGGGCUCACCCCCGGAAGUGCAUCGGAUACUGGGAAACUCGAGUACCGGAGAGGAGGGUGGAAUUCCUGGUGUAGCGGUGAAAUGCGUAGAUAUCAGGAGGAACACCGGCGGCGAAGGCGGCCCUCUGGACGGAUACUGACGCUGAGACGCGAAAGCGUGGGGAGCAAACAGGAUUAGAUACCCUGGUAGUCCACGCUGUAAACGAUGGGCACUAGGUGUUCGGGGUAUUGACCCCCUGAGUGCCGCAGCUAACGCAUUAAGUGCCCCGCCUGGGGACUACGGCCGCAAGGUUA